CUAUGAUUGUCAAGGUUGGGCAGAGCUGUGAAACAUGAUGAAAGGUGAGUUAAGCAGUCAGAUACUAUGGUAAUGGAGGUCUACAACAGGGUAUUUUCUCUGUCCAGGGCUCAGCAGUCCUCCCAGCUCUCCCCAGGAUCCUCCAUAGCCUCUUCAGAAAAAGGACCUUCAGGAGUCUCUGGAGGAUGUUAAACAGGAG